rnacentral:rRNA from 1 species
UACGUAGGAUGCAAGCGUUGUCCGGAAUUAUUGGGCGUAAAGAGCGAGCAGGCGGUUACUCAAGUCAGAUGUAAAAUAUCCCGGCUUAACCGGGAGGGGCCAUUUGAAACUGGGUAACUAGAGUGAAGCAGAGGAUAGCGGAAUUCCCGGUGUAGUGGUGAAAUGCGUAGAUAUCGGGAGGAACACCAGUGGCGAAGGCGGCUAUCUGGGCUUUAACUGACGCUGAGGCGCGAAGGCUAGGGGAGCAAACAGG